CAGCAAUUGUAGCAUCUGUAGUCGGUGAUAGCUAAUGCGUUGCUUGAAUCAUGCAAGAGCUUCACAUGAGAAGAAGAGAGCCAAAGGUAGCCAAGGACAAACUUGCCAGCAACUCGCAAACAAGGAGAUUUUGUUACAAGGCAAUGCCGGCAAGUCAUCCUUGGCUGCAUUCCACUCUCUGCCUCUUCAUGCAAAGCCCUCAGCAAGCAUCUUCAUUCCCUUAUUCCCCUCUAGCAGGUAUGCAGCCCUUUCCUCUCCAUAGCAGGUACGCAACCCUUUCCUCUCCAUAGCAUUCCAUCUUGCAACUUCUACUACGUGUUCUGGACAGAUGAAAGAGUUGGUAUAUAUAGGCCAGGGUAGUGUGUUGGUAAUUCAUGGAAUGUGCCUGAUCCUUCUGGUUCCUGUGGAUAGCCAAUGGGGUGAUACGGAGAGGAAUUCCCCAAAGUAUGUGAUACGCGCUGCCUAUUAGGAGAUAUUCCAAUUUUGGUAUUAUGCUGACUUGCUGAGGUCUCAAAAUGGACAAGUGGUCCAAUCUCCAUUACUCAUGGGAUUUUAGGCCUUAUAAGAAGGCUGUGAAGGUGGUCUGUGGGGGCGGUUUUCUUCUUGCGAUGUUUGGUAGGCUGUCAUGGGAAUAGAAUCAUGGGUGGAGGCCACACUGAGAUAUGGAGAGGGGUCAUGUGUGUCUCGUGAUUUCAAGGAUGAGUCAUAAGAUCCGCUUCUUAUUGACUCUGUCAAAUUUCAUAGCUUGCAUAAUUUGAAAGAGUGUUUUCACUCCCUUUUCUGUACUAUUUUCUCCAGAUUUUAUGCAUUGAUUGGUUUAGUUGCCUUAAAUCUCAUAGGCUUCCUUAGUUGUCAUUGAGAAAACAUCUGAUGUAAGUGCCAUUGCUGCCAGGUCCUUUCUGUAGAUGCUUCUACCACAACCUACCAUCAAUGAGUUUGAUAUCCUUUUUUGCUUCCAGUCAUAUAAGAAUUCACAAUAAACUAUUAUAGGAGUUUUAUUAUUGGGUCAUUUUAGGUCAUCUCAGGACAUCGUAGUUAAUUCCUUCAUUCCUUGGAAAGGUAAUAUAUACUUGAUAAUAAGGCGGGAGGUGACAGUGAUCAGUUCAUGAUUGGAAGGCCAAUUGUAGGAUUGAAAUGGUCAGGAAAAUCUUGUAGAAUUCUUGAUCAAUAAGAUUUUGAAUAAAUUGGAGAUCUGUCAUGGCUCAUCUGUAGUAUUUAGUCUUCCAUUUGUUUCGUCAGUGAAUAUGUUAUUUGGAUGGGCAUUUUUCUUGUCAGGUUGCGACUGAAGGGUGUCAUCCACUUGGUCCACUUGGACAAGUGGGAGGCUGAAUACCCCUUUGACAUUAAAGAGGGUCAUUGGAAAUACGUAAUUUAUUUCCACGAAUUUGAACAUCUUUUUUCGUUAGAUCUCGUGGGACACAGUCCUUUCCCACAGGCUAUUUAGGUUCGUCCAAUAUAGAAUUGCUAAACCCUUUUUAUUGCUUGUCGAGGAAUCAGAUUCUAUCAAAUAUAAAGGUUAGGGCCAGAAGUCUCAAUCUCUGAGACGUCUCUUUAACCUCCCACUUGCCUUAUUCUUUAACUCCAUUUCUUUUCGAGCUUGCCCCCUUUUUGGUGUUUUCUUCCAGUAAGAUUAGAGGACAAGUAGUCCAGCAUUUUAUAAUGCAUCUGUCAGCUAAAAUGUAUAUAUAUUAUAUAUAUUGAAAAAUGGAAUAGUUGUGUCCCUUAUAUCUUAGAUCUCGAUUUUUUUUUAAAUGCAAUAUUUUUUAUUUCAAGAAAAAAAAUACUACUCAGCUUAAUUCAUGAUUGGUUAUCUCGAUGAUGGAUGUUUAUAAAAUGUCAGAGUCGCAGAGUUAUGCAUCUUUUUGGCCCCAAUUCUGAAGAUUAAUUUGUGAAUUUGAUAUUCCAUACAAGCGCUGAAGACCUCUUGGUUUCGGAAUCAUCCUGCAAGUUACUUCUCAGAGAAGGCUAAUCAUCCGCCAGUGUGGCCACCAGCCUAAAUCAUUACAAAUAGGACAACACCUGCAAAAGAGGGAAACAGUAGAUCAUAUCCGUAACUUUGGUCGGGUUCACUGUCAAUGGUUCCUGUUCAUUGAAUUGCUCUGGUCACUGACGUAGUCAGGUCCUUCACAUGGCAGCAUAUAUUAUUACUGUGUUCUAUUUCCAAGUUGGUUCCGUACUAUUUCUUUAUUAUACGUGCAUGACAGCAUAUAUUACUUGUUAUUUCUUUAUUCUUCGGUGAAAGAAGCUUUUUUGGUGCAUCGACAAAAAUCUUUGCAUGGAAGUGCAGAGGAUAUGAUAGUUUAAAUUACUGGGCUUUCUGGUGUGCAGCUCAGCCAUUGGGCCUGUCGGCCACUCAAGUUGUACCUCGUGCGGUGUGGUUCUUCUCUAGUUAGUGCGAUGAUGGGCUGGCCCUUCUCUUGCAGAGGAGCAUGGCUGGCCAAAUCUUGUGCUUGUUUUGAGGGCAUUUUGAGGGAGUCAAACCUUUUGAGCAUUAAGGAAGAACUUUAAUUUAAGGAUUAAAGGACAAUGCCGAAUCUUUUUAUCUCCCCUCUCCUUUCUGUGCAUGACCAAAAUCUCACAUUUCACCGGCUCUCCAAAAUUCCAUUGGCAUGUUUGUCCCAUUAGUUAUAGUCCAAAGCGUUGAGUAUCCUUAGAACCCCAUAACAGUGGCAGUACUCUCUCGGAGGUCACAAUCAAAUCUCAGUUUAUCGUCCUUCUCCUUUUGGCACUUUUUUGUUGUUGCACAGGAUUAGAAGGGAUGCUGUGGCUGGUAAUGUUGAAAUGUUUUACGGUCCAGCCUCACAGGUUUAAUGGAAAGUAUAUGGCUUUUGAUACAAGCAGGUUGGUCCAAACCAUUCCAUCAGAUCAUGAGAAGUUCGAUCUCUUUGCAUGUCAAGCUACUUCAUCUUUGGGAAAGCAAGGAUGUGGAGGACCUUAGCGGAGUGCCACCGGUUACAGAAGCACACGAUAGAGGGGGCCAAGUUCCACCUGUUCUCGCCUUCCACUGCCGCACUCUAGGCGGAGCUGCAGGACUGGCUUCUUGCCUCGGGGCCUGGUUCCAGGCCCAGCGGUGCUCGCCCGCUAACCCUUGAGGCCGGCCUCCAUCCCCCAGCCGUUCCGUCAACGGCGAUGAACGGGAUGGAGAUGUAACAGAUGUUCGCGUCGGUGGCGGCAGAGAGGGAGUAAUUAGAACCGGGGCGGAGUAAUUAGAAGCCAGGCACGAAUGUGGCCGACGGUGGACUUGGGCGAGACUAAGGGCGAGUCAACGUGUGGUUUGACCGAUAGUGGCUACCGAGUUGGAGGUUGUUUUAGUUUGACUCGGCCAUCAGAUUCAUGUAUAAAUGGCUGUGAUGGCAUAGGACAAAAUAUAAUUGAUAAGAAAAGUAU